CCUACGGGCGGCAGCAGUGGGGAAUAUUGCACAAUGGGGGAAACCCUGAUGCAGCGACGCCGCGUGAGUGAAGAAGUAAUUCGUUACGUACAGCUCUAUCAGCAGGGAAGAAAAUGACGGUACCUGAGUAAGAAGCCCCGGCUAACUACGUGCCAGCCGCCGCGGUAAUCCGUAGGGGGCAAGCGGUAUCCGGAUGUCCUGGGUGUAAAGGGAGCGUCUACGGGGCGCCAAGUCUGGAGUGAAAUGCCGCAGAGUAACUGCGGAACUGCUUUGGAAACUGGCGAACUAGAGUGCGGGAGGGGUAAGCGGAAUGCCUAGUGUAGCGGUGAAAUGCGUAGAUAUUAGGAGGAACACCGGUGGCGAAGGCGGCUUACUGGACCGUAACUGACGUUGAGGCUCGAAAGCGUGGGGAGCAAACAGGAUUAGAUACCCUUGUAGUC
rnacentral:rRNA from 1 species